rnacentral:rRNA from 1 species
AUGGAGCAGAGCGGCGACGUCGGCGGCCAGUGGCUGUACGACCCGGGGACAGACGGCCGCGUGCCCAGCAGCGUGUACGCGUGCCUCCGCCUCCUCAGCCCGCGGGAGGCCAUGGGCUUCUCCGACUUCGAGUUCCUCCCCAGGGCCGGCGCCGGCCGCGACCCGCGCCGCUUCCCCGGCCACCGCGAGGUGCACAGCUACCUCAGGGACUUCUGCCACGCGUUCGGGCUCAUGGACGCCGUCAGGCUCAACACCCGGGUCCUGCGCGUCGCAAUCGCGGAUCCGACGUCGGCGGCGACGCGUCAGUGGGCGGUGAGGUCCGUGCGGCGCCUCGGCGGCACGGAGGAUGAUGCGCGGGAGGAGGAGGAGGUGUUCGACGCGGUGGUGGUGGCCACCGGCCAGUACUCGCAGCCGAUGCUCCCGAGCGGCAUCGAGGGCAUGGCGGAAUGGAGGCUUCGGCAGCUACACAGCCACUCGUACAGGACGCCGGAGCCGUUCCGCGGCGAGGCGGUGGUGGUGGUCGGUUGCCGGGACAGCGGCAAGGACAUCGCGUUGGACCUCUGCCGCGUCGCCAGGGAGGUGCACCUCGCCGCCAGCUCCGAGGCCGCCGCGCCCACACCGGCCGUGUCAAAGAUGCUGGCCAAUCACGGCGACGUGCUGCGCCUCCACCCGCGGGUACGCCGGCUGCACGCGGACGGGCGCGUGUGGUUCGAGGACGGCUCCUCUGUCGUCGCGGACACCGUGAUCUACUGCACGGGGUACGGCUACUCGUUCCCGUUCCUGGACACGGGCGGGGCGGUCACCGUGGGCGACGGCGACUGCGUGGUCGGGCCGCUGUUCGAGCACGUGUUCCCGCCGUCCCUGGCGCCGUCGCUCUCCUUCGUGGGCGUGCCGAGGAAGGUCCUGCUGCCGUGGUUCUUCGAGGCGCAGGCGAGGUGGGUCGCGCAGGCGCUGUCCGGCCGCCGCGCGCUGCCGCCGGAGGCGGAGAUGCUGCGGGCCGUGGAGGAGCACUUCCGCGCCAGGGAGGCCGCCGGCGAGCCGAGGAAGCACACCCACCACUACAUCGGCGGCAUCGACUACGGCGACUUGACGCCGAUGGAGGACUGGAAGAAGGAGCUGGUCCUGUCGAGCAUGGCGAGCAUGAGCGACGACCUGGAGACCUUCCGCGACCGCGCCGACGACAGCGAGAACGUCCGGAAGGGCGUCCGGCGAUGGCGCGGCGGCUUAGCUGCUCAAGCUCAGGACAAAACCGUGGCCGCUGCUGCUGAAGUUGAAGGUGAUUGGCAGGCCAUGGCUAAGAAAGAAAGAAACUCCUCAACUGAAUUGAACUGCACCUCUUCGAGUAUCAGUGAGGGUAUGUUUAACGUACUUACGUCACAUCUAAACUGA